UUGACUUGCAAAUGAUAACGAUUAUUAUUGAGACAACUGAUCGCGAGAUCGGUUGGGUAAUCCGAAAGGCCUUAGGUCGGACUUUCGAAUUAUCUCCUCAUCAGGCUAAUCACGGUUUUUGACCCGGCUUUUUGCCGGGUCUUUUUUUU
rnacentral:sRNA from 1 species